rnacentral:pre_miRNA from 1 species
CUUGUACUCCCUUCGUCCGAAAAUACUUGUCAUUGAAAUGGAUGUAUCUAGAUGUAUUUUAGUUCUAGACACAUCCAUUUUGAUGACAAGUAAUUCCGGAUGGAGGGUGUCGGCG